GACGAACGCUGGCGGCGGGCUUAACACAUGCAAGUCGAACGGAAUGGCCGUGUCUUUGCCCGGUGCUAGAGUGGCGCACGUGUGUGUAACGCGUGAGUAUCCUGCCCUUUACUGAGGGAUCACUUCAGAAAAUUGGGGAUAACGCCUGCGCGCUGCUCCUGCUGCAUGUAGCGGGUAAGAAAGUUUCGGCGGUUGGUGAUGGACUCGCGGCUUAUCUGCUUGUUUGUGGGGUAGUGGAUUACCAAGGCUAUGACGGGUAGCCGGACUGGGAGGGUGACCGGCCAAGAGGCGACGGAGAUACGACACAGACUCGUCCGGUACGCAACAGUGGAGAGUAUAAUAGAAUGGGAGGAAGGCUGAUGUAGGAACGCCGCGUGCGGGAAGACGGCCUUCGGGUUGUGAACCGCUUUUGCCUGUGAGGAAGCGUGAGUGACGGUAAUGGGAAAAGAAGCACCGGCAAACUUCGUG
rnacentral:rRNA from 1 species